CCUACGGGGGGCAGCAGUGAGGAAUAUUGGUCAAUGGGCGCGAGCCUGAACCAGCCAAGUAGCGUGAAGGAUGACUGCCCUACGGGUUGUAAACUUCUUUUAUAAAGGAAUAAAGUGAGGCACGUGUGCCUUUUUGUAUGUACUUUAUGAAUAAGGAUCGGCUAACUCCGUGCCAGCAGCCGCGGUAAUACGGAGGAUCCGAGCGUUAUCCGGAGUGACUUGGGGUAAAGAGUUGCGUAGGUGGCAUAAUAAGUAGCUAGUUAAAUCUGGUGGCUCAACCAUUCAGACUAUUAGCUAAACUGUUAGGCUCGAGACCGUUAGGGGUAACUGGAAUUUCUAGUGUAGGGGUGAAAUCCGUAGAUAUUAGAAGGAACACCAAUAGCGUAGGCAGGUUGCUGGGACGGUUCUGACACUAAGGCACGAAAGCGUAGGGAGCAAACAGGAUUAGAUACCCUUGUAGUC
rnacentral:rRNA from 1 species